rnacentral:rRNA from 1 species
UACGUAGGGUGCGAGCGUUGUCCGGAAUUACUGGGCGUAAAGAGCUCGUAGGCGGUUUGUUGCGUCGGCUGUGAAAUCCCGAGGCUCAACCUCGGGUCUGCAGUCGAUACGAGCAAACUAGAGUGUUGCAGGGGAGACUGGAAUUCCUGGUGUAGCGGUGAAAUGCGCAGAUAUCAGGAGGAACACCGGUGGCGAAGGCGGGUCUCUGGGCAACAACUGACGCUGAGGAGCGAAAGCGUGGGGAGCGAACAGG